GGGUUGUGAGGUUAAGCGACUAAGCGUACACGGUGGAUGCCCUGGCAGUCAGAGGCGAUGAAGGACGUGCUAAUCUGCGAUAAGCGCCGGUAAGGUGAUAUGAACCGUUAUAACCGGCGAUUUCCGAAUGGGGAAACCC
rnacentral:rRNA from 4 species